rnacentral:lncRNA from 1 species
CCUUACCUGCCUUUACCAGUGCUUCUCAAAAUUGCCAAGGGAUCUUGCUGAAAUGCAGGUUCUGAUUUAAUAGGUCUGAUGUAGUGGGGCCUGAGCCUCUGCAUUUCUAUCAAGCUCUCAGGGCUUGCUAAUACUUCUGGUUCCUGUACUACAUUGUGAGUAGCAAGGCAUUAAAUAAUUUGAGGCUUCCUACGAUAAUCUAUAAAUUCUAUCUUUUAUUUCCUGGCUAUUCUUCUGCUAGGUGAGACUAAAUACUAAUGGAAAAUCAUAUCUACUGCUGUUACUAUGUGAAUUUAGCAACCAACCAUUGCCUCUCCUGGCAAUAGCAUGCUAGAAUGUGCAGGACUCUGAAGCUCCUUGAGAAGGACACAGAAGAGACUUCCAAUGCAGGGACUGGCCACUCAGGCUUUGGCUGUAUCUGGCAUAUCUCAAACCAGAAACUUUCUGAUCCACUUUCUGCACAGUAUAUUUACCUCAGGUGGUCUGCUGAAAGCGGCAAAAGGGUCCUGCAGCUGCACUGGAAAAUGGAAAAGGCCGAGGCCAUUCUUCUUUCUGAGGUUUUGCAAUGAAAACUGCCUUGCAUUGUUGACCUCCCGCUGUCCUCGCUGCACCACGCUCUACACCUGCCCCUCCCCACCCCAGACACUGGGCUCCAUGUUUCUCUGGUGUGCCUGCUCAUUUACUCAUGGUCCAUCCAGUUUCCGUCAUCCACGUUUUAGUUGAGAUCCUCACUCCUCUUUUCUUUGUCCUUGUAGAGUUAUAAUUCUCUAUUCUUCUGCUUUCAUUUUGUUUCCAGAGAACAUGGUGUUCAAUUCACCACCUUAAUUCAGAAGUAUAAUGAUUUAAGAAGGCUCAGCUGCAGAUAUGUAAAGAGAGAUUGGCAAAAGCAUAAUCAAGUCAAGUCAUGGCAAGGUUAUAAGAAGCAGUCACAAAAGCGUAGUAAUUUGAGUGCAAAUAGCAUUUUCAUCAUGACUAUGCCCGUUCACAGGGACUCUUUGAAACAGAAGUGUGGUUGGAAGGGAUUCCCCUUCUGCUUGUGGAAGGGCAUGAAAGGGGCACAGAGGUUAUGGAUGCAUUGUACCCUAGGCUCAGGCUCGUUCCUGGCUGUGUGAUAAUGGGCAAGUUGCUGGCCCCUUCAGUUGUGUCUUUGGAAAAUAGAUGUAAUUGCAUCUCCCUCAUUUGGAUAUGCAGAAGAUGAA